AACUCGGCCAUUUAGAGGAAGUACAAGUCGUAACAAGGUUUCCGUAGGUGAACCUGCGGAAGGAUCAUAGUAAUCGUCUUUGACGUUCUAUCUCCCUCGUCCUCGGGACGUUAAGGCGCUCUGGUCGAGGAUAAACGACCCCUCUGACCGAGGUUAAACGGUCGCUUGCCUGUGUUACCUCUUCGGAGGCACACGUUAAAGAUCGUUCCGCGUUGUGAGUCUAACACCAGUUGUAAACUUUCUACAACCGGCAGCGCUGGAUCCCUUGGCACGUCAUUCGAUGAAGACCGUUGCAAAUUGCGAUAAAGUGAUGUGAUGCGCAAGUCCACCACUUAUACGUGAAUCAUCGAGUUGUUGAACGCAUUGCACCGCGCCCUAAACCGGCUGCGGUAUGCCCCUUUGAGCGUCAUUGUAUUCCUUCGGGAGUCUUUCCUUGCUGAAAGACCCGAGCUCGGAGUCCUCGGUCCUUUGGAUCGUGUUCUCUCAGAUGCGUCGCGCCGAUCGCCUGAUGGGUACUCUAAUGCCUGAGCGUGGAGUCCCUUUGUGCUUGAGACGCGCUUGACCGGCCGUUGGGCUCGCGUCACCAAGUCCGCGUCCUCUGGACGUUGGUACUACAACGCAUGACCUCAUUGGGGUAGGACAACCCGCUAGACUUAAGCAUAUUAAUCAGCGGAGGAAAAGAAACUAACAAGGAUUCCCCUAGUAAC
rnacentral:rRNA from 1 species